AACGAACGCUGGCGGCGUGGAUAAGACAUGCAAGUCGAACGGGAUUUUUUUCUGUAGCAAUACAGGAAAAAGUCUAGUGGCGAACGGGUGCGUAACACGUGAGCAACCUGCCGUGAAGUGGGGGAUAGCUCGCCGAAAGGCGAAUUAAUACCGCAUGUGGCCAAGGAAGACCUCUUCCUGCCUCCAAAGCCGGGGCAACCUGCCGCUGCUCGAGCGGCUAGCGGCCUAUCAGCUUGUUGGGGAGGUAACGGCUCACCAAGGCUAUGACGGGUAGCUGGUCUGAGAGGAAGACGAGCCACACUGGAACUGAGACACGGUCCAGACACCUACGGGUGGCAGCAGUCGAGAAUUUUUCACAAUGGGGGAAACCCUGAUGGAGCGACGCCGCGUGGAGGAUGAAGGUUUUCGGAAUGUAACUCCUGUCAUUAGAGAACAAGGCACACGGUUUAACUGGCCGUGUGUUGAUAGUAUCUGAAGAGGAAGAGACGGCUAACUCUGUGCCAGCCGCCGCGGUAA
rnacentral:rRNA from 1 species